GAUGAAGAACGCAGCGAAAUGCGAUAAUUAAUGUGAAUUGCAGAAUUCAGUGAAUCAUCGAGUCUUUGAACGCACAUUGCGCCCCCUGGUAUUCCGGGGGGCAUGCCUGUCCGAGCGUCAUUGCUGCCCUCAAGCACGGCUUGUGUGUUGGGCUUCCGUCCCUGGCAACGGGGACGGGCCCAAAAGGCAGUGGCGGCACCAUGUCUGGUCCUCGAGCGUAUGGGGCUUUGUCACCCGCUCCCGUAGGUCCAGCUGGCAGCUAGCCUCGCAACCAAUCUUUUUAACCAGGUUGACCUCGGAUCAGGUAGGGAUACCCGCUGAACUUAAGCAUAUCAAUAACGGAGGA
rnacentral:misc_RNA from 1 species